rnacentral:rRNA from 1 species
GACGAACGCUGGCGGCGUGCCUAAUACAUGCAAGUCGAGCGGACUUGAUGGAGCUUGCUCCUGAUAGUCAGCGGCGGACGGGUGAGUAACACGUGGGCAACCUGCCUGUAAGACUGGGAUAACUUCGGGAAACCGGAGCUAAUACCGGAUACGUUCUUUUCCCGCAUGAGAGAAGAUGGAAAGACGGUUUCGACUGUCACUUACAGAUGGGCCCGCGGCGCAUUAGCUAGUUGGUGGGGUAAUGGCUCACCAAGGCGACGAUGCGUAGCCGACCUGAGAGCGUGAUCGACCACACUGGGACUGCGACACGGCCCAGACUCCUACGGGAGGCAGCAGUAGGGAAUCUUCCGCAAUGGACGAAAGUCUGACGGAGCAACGCCGCGUGGGUGAAGAAGGUUUUCGGAUCGUAAAACUCUGUUGUCAGGGAAGAACAAGUACCAUAGUAACUGAUGGUACCUUGACGGUACCUGACCAGAAAGCCACGGCUAACUACGUGCCAGCCGCCGCCGUAACAC